GCAGCCUUCCACAGCACCUGCAGGGGGCAGUGUCCCAACCAGAAGUUCAAGAACAUGAAUGAGUGAACAUCCCCAAGGAUAAAUCAGACAGGAGCACACCUCCCGGUGAAAUGGAAAGGUGCUGUAUUAAGAGUUAGAGGUACAGAAGUAAAGACAGUCGCUGCCCAGGAGUUUCUACUUGAGCUGGGAAGAGAGACAAGUAAACAGUGUCCACAGUUGGGAGAAGGAUGUCGAG